rnacentral:rRNA from 1 species
GACGUAGGAGGCGAGCGUUGUCCGGAUUCAUUGGGCGUAAAGAGCACGCAGGCGGUUUGGCAAGUCGGAUGUGAAAACCCGAAGCUCAACUUCGGGCCUGCAUCCGAAACUGCCCGACUAGAGGUAGGUAGGGGAGAUCGGAAUUCCUGGUGUAGUGGUGAAAUGCGUAGAUAUCUGGAAGAACACCAAUGGCGAAGGCACCAUCCUAGGAAGCAUCUGACGCUCAGGUGCGAAAGCUAGGGGAGCGAACGGG